UGUACCCACCCAGCUGGCGCACGAAGGAUCUCUUAAGGGGUCUCAGUUUCGCGUUCUGGGAGCAGAAUCAGGUUGAGCUUUGCGGAGCGUCUCCAACCCCCGGGGCCGCACAGCAGGAGAUGAGCGGCGGGCAAGCAAGCGAAGCUUCAUCGGCCGCUCCCCAUCGCUCACAUUACCGCCUGAACCACACCCCCCUUCCGUGGAAAAAUUGUCUUCCAGGAAACCGGUCCCUCGUGCCAAAAAGGUUGGGGACCGCUGCUCUAAAUCACCUCCUCCUCUCACUGUCUCCACGGUGCUUUGUAAUGACCAAGAUCUAAAUAAAAUCUAAGGUCUUAGCUGCGGCGUGCGGGAUCUUCAUUUUGGCAUGCGG